rnacentral:rRNA from 1 species
GAUGAACGCUAGCGGCAGGCCUAAUACAUGCAAGUCGAACGGAUAUAUGUUUUUCGGAAUAUAUAUUAGUGGCGCACGGGUGAGUAACACGUACAUAACUUGCCCUCAAGCGGGGGAUAGCCUUGGGAAACUGAGAGUAAUACCCCAUAGAAUUAUUGGACGGCAUCGUUUGAUAAUUAAAACUACGGUGCUUGGGGAUAGAUGUGCGUCUGAUUAGCUAGUUGGUGAGGUAACUGCUCACCAAGGCGACGACCAGUAGGGGGCGUGAGAGCGUGGCCCCCCACACGGGUACUGAGACACGGACCCGACUCCUACGGGAGGCAGCAGUAAGGAAUAUUGGUCAAUGGAGGGAACUCUGAACCAGCCAUGCCGCGUGAAGGAUGACGGCCCUCUGGGUUGUAAACUUCUUUUGGUAUGGGGCGAAAAAACGGGAUUUAUCCUGGACUGACGGUACCAUCAGAAUAAGCACCGGCUAACUCCGUGCCAGCAGCCGCGGU